rnacentral:misc_RNA from 1 species
CUCACAUGAUGGAUAAGGAUAUCACCAAAGAAGUCACUAAUACUUAUGAUCCUAUCACCCCACCUUUUGUGCUAGAUAAUGUUGUUGAUAAUAACACUCACACUACCUCUAUUUCAUCCCCUGAAACACCAAGAAGCACACACUCUGAACCAGUUCUUAGUCCAAUACCUAUAAUUCCAACUGAAACAUAUAAUGAACCAGCCCUUAGG